UCUCCUUUGAAUAAAGCCUGAGUUCUGGGCUGUAGUGUGCUAUGCCGAUCAGGUGUCCGCACUAAGUUCGGCAUCAAUAUGGUGACCUCCCGGGAGCGGGGGACCACCAGGUUGCCUAAGGAGGGGUGAA